CCAACGUCGGGAACCACGGCUGGCGUGGCCAAAAUGGAGCUAUCAGUAUUGCUGACACUCUCUCCUGUCUGAUCCGGAUGAGAGACCUCUGAAUGAGAGGAAUCGGAGGAAAAAGGUGAACGAUGGACUCUAGAAUCACCAUCCGGAAACGCCGAGGUUGCAGGUUGGAGCAGAAGAAGCCAGCUGAGAAGAUCUGCCCUGAGAUGUCCUAUAAGGCUUAUAUCCUUGGGAAGACUGUUGUUGGUACUGGUGUUGAUAUUGCUGCUGGGGAAAUUGUUUCUGCCAUUGUUGU